GGGCUACCCAGAGUCCUUAUAAGCCAGCACCACCUGGCAGUCUCCUUUAAUCUCUUCUCCCUCCAUGUCCCAGGGGACCCGCUUCUGUCAAACACCUUCACCGAAUCUGGCAGCGUUGGCACCAUGGGGCCUGCGGGACCCCCAGGGCCUUCAGGGCCAAUGGGUCCUCUGGGCCCCCCGGGGCCAGUCGGGCUGCCAGGCCCUCCGGGGCACGAUGGUUUACCCGGAGCGCCAGGUGCUGACGGAGCCACUGGUCCCCCAGGGGAGAAAGGAGACAGAGUGAGUGACCCCCAGCCCCUGCCACGUGGCUAGUAGCCGGGGCUGUGCUUGAGGGGACAGGGCUGCAGAGGAGUGCACAGGGCAAGGCUGAGGGCAGGGGCAGUGGUGGAGCAGGG
rnacentral:lncRNA from 1 species